AGCUCCAAUAGCGUAUAUUAAAGUUGUUGCAGUUAAAAAGCUCGUAGUUGGAUUUCUGGCAGGAGCGACCGGUCCGCCGCAAGGUGUGCACUAGGUCGUCUCCAGUCAUCUUUGUGGGAACUGCUCUGGCAUUAGGUUGUCGGGGUUAGGGAACACAUCGUUUACUGUGAAAAAAUUAGAGUGUUUAAAGCAGGCUUAUGCCGUUGAAUACAUUAGCAUGGAAUAAUAAGAUAGGACUUUGGUGGUCUAUUUUGUUGGUUUGCACACCAAGGUAAUGAUUAAUAGGGAUAGUUGGGGGUAUUCGUAUUUAAUUGUCAGAGGUGAAAUUCUUGGAUUUAUGAAAGACGAACUACUGCGAAAGCAUUUACCAAAGAUGUUUUCAUUAAUCAAGAACGAAAGU
rnacentral:rRNA from 1 species